AAGGCUGAAUACUGCUUUGAUAAAACAAAUCAGACUGCAGCCCAUUACAUGCAAUGGGACAGUCUUCAUUUUAUUUGUUAAGAUUAUAUAAGAUCGUCAUAUAAAAUGAUCCAAAAUGUGCUCUUCGGACUUUCAUAUUCCGGAAGCUGCUGUGGCAGUGACAAUGAGGGAUGGAGCUCACAGAAGCAAGGCGCUUGAAAUGGCAAACGCCGUCUGUGUGAAGAGCUUCUGAAGCAGAACUCAGAGCAGUAGAGCAUUCUACGACUUUAUGUCCUGAGGAAGAUUCAGUUUUCCUAGAUUUCCAUGAGAGGUCACACUGUUCCUGCUGUCUCCAUGCCAGUCUCAUCUGAAAAUGGUAUACUAAAAUCAUUCUGACUGCAGGGACAGGAAACAAUGUCACCUUGCUGAUUGGGACCAAUCAGGAUUCACCGUCAUGGCAACGGCCUUCCGAAACCGGGAAACCUGGAGUCUGCUAGAGAAUUUGCUGUGGUUUUCAGGCAGCCAAGCUGACACUAUAUGUCAUAUAUACAGCUCUGGAAAAGAUAUUAAAGAGACCACUGAAAAAUCCUCAUUUUCUCUGCUUUCACUAUUUAUAGGUAUGUGUUUGAGUAAAAAAACUUUAUUUCAUAAACUACUCAGAACAUCUCCACAUAUUUCCAAAUGAAAUAUUGUAAUUUAUUUACAGAAAAUAACAACUAAUAAAAAAGAUCCAGUGUUUUCAAACAAGUUCAUAUUCAUUUUUAAAAAACACAAUACUAAUGAUUCAACAUAGGACGUGUUCAGAAAUCAGUAUUUAGUGGAAUAAUUUAGUGAUUUUCAAUCACGGCUUUUAUGCGUCUCCACGUGCUCUCCACCACUCUUUCACAGUGCUCGUUAAAUAAGAUUUCGUUCAGGUGAUCUCUUAAUCAGUACCUCAUUAAGUAGAAUGAGGUGUGCCUGUGUUAGAAUUCAACCAACACAGGCGGCCCGAGAGAUUUUGAGUGGUCUUUUAAAUUUUUCCAGUGCUGUAUAUGCUGUUUCUACCAAUUAAAUAUAUUUGUUUUCUAAUAAAUAAAUAUAUGAAUUUCUAAUAAAAUAAAUAUAUCUGUACAUG